AAUUUUAAAAGAGAUCCCGGGAAGAAUAUUGAGAAAACGGAGGGAGUACUCUAGCCUUACUACCUUUUUGAGAGAUGUGAAGAUUACAUACAGGUGGGAACUCCCAGAGGGGUUAACCUUUUGGUGGAAAAAGAAGAGAGUUAGAAUUUUGACACCGGAGCAGGCAAAAAAAUUUCUGAAACAAGUCAAAACACAAUACCCGACAAAACAAGGAGAAGAUAGAGACACUGAACAAAGAAACCAACUGGAUGGAGAAGAAGAAGACGGAGAGCUGUUGAAUUUGCAAGACCCCCUAAUUCUGGACUUAGAAUACGACGAGCAAGAGUUGCUACAGGAGGAAAUUAGAAUCGGGAGAGAAGAAAGAGAAAGGGAAGAAAAGUACUAAAUAAAACACGUAAAACAUUUAACUCGUAUUAAAUAUAAUUUUUCUUAUCUUGAAUUUGAAAUUCGACACAGAAAAACUUAUUUAUUUUUAAAUUUUACCUCAUUUCAAUAAAAAUAUAUUAAAAUUUAAUAAAUACUGACGAGGUGGUUUUCUUUCCUAUUGCUAUCAUAUUUGAGAGAUAGAAUUUAAAAAUUAUGGCGAACAAUUUAAAAUUCUUAUCGUGGAACGUUCAGGGCUUGAAUACACCGCAAAAAAGGAAAAAGAUCUUCCAUUAUUUGCAAAAACUAAAAUUAGAUAUAAUCUGUCUACAAGAGACAAGAAUAAAAGAAAAAGAUAAAAAACAUUAAGAUGCAAUAGAUUAGGACAACUGUACUCAGCACAUUCUAAAUAUAAGAAAAAAGGAGUGGCAAUAUAUGUAGAUGUAAAAUAUGAUGCAAAAGAAAUUUAUAGUGAUAAGGAGGGAAAUUAUGAAAUAAUUGAGUUGAGGUACAGAGAAGAGACUGAGAAGAAAUUGAUUAUAGUAGGAGUAUAUGGUCCUUUAGAAAAUAAAAAUAAAUUUUAUAGCAAACUAAAACAAAAAUUAGUUCAGCUGGAAAAUGAUUCAGUAAUCCUACUUGGAGAUUGGAAUGGUGUUAUAGACCCAAAAUUAGACAGAUUUUCGGAAAAAAACAUGAGGAGGAAUCAAGGUAAGCUCCCAAAUGAAUUUUUCAAAUUAACACAAUUAUUGGAGGUGCAGGAUGUAUGGAGAACAAAAUAUGGGAAGGCUAAAGAUUACACCUUUUAUUCUAACCCGCAUAAGACAUGGUCCAGAAUAGAUAUGAUAUGGUUAUCUGUCCAUUUAAACCCAAAGAUUCAAAAUGUUAAGAUACUUCCUAGAGUAUUAUCGGAUCAUAACCCAGUGCAAUUAAAUUUAAAUAUGUUGAGAAAUAAGGAAUAUAGUUGGAAAUUAAAUUCAAAAUUGUUAGAAGAUAAGGAGAUUACUAAACAAUUAAAUGUUGAAAUUAAAAGAUAUUUUGAAGAAAAUUCAGAUAAGGAGACUGCCCCCUUUAUAGUCUGGGAUGCACAUAAGGCGGCUAUAAGGGGCUGGUUAAUAAAAAAAAGCCUCUGAGGUAAAAAAGAAAAAAGAAGAAAAAUUGAAGUAUUUGAAUUUGCAACUACAAAACAAAGAAAAUGAAUUGAAAAAAUAUCCAAAUGAUGUAAACACCAGGAAAGAAGUUAAAUAUUUGCAGAAACAAAUAUCGGUGGUUUUGGUGGAAGAGAUGGAAAAGAAAUUGAAAUUUUUAAAACAAAAAUAUUUUGAAACAGCAAAUAAACUGGGUAAAUUAUUGGCAUAUCAAUUAAAAAAAGAAAAAGCUAAAAGAACCAUCUCAAUGAUUAAAGAGGGAGAUAAGAUAAUUACAAGUCAAAAUAAAUUAAAGAAAAAAGUAUUAGAGUAUUUUGUGGAACUAUUUAAAUACCCAAAAGUAGACCUGUCAAAGAUUAAAAACUAUUUGGAUUCGCAAAAAAUUGUAAAGUUUACAGAAAAACAGAAAGAAAUUUUGAAUAACCCGAUUACUUUAAACGAAUUGGUUGAUGCAAUAAAAAAAUGUAAGUUGGGGAAAACCCCAGGUCCAGACGGUUUCACGAAUGAAUACUAUAAAAAAAUGUUACGAGUAUCUCAAAGAACCGUUAGUACACAUAUUCAAUGAAAUUGUGAGGGGUGGGAUACCACAAACAUGGACUCAAACAGAUAUAAGCUUGAUCCCAAAAGAAGGAAAAGAUGGAACAUUGCUUAAAAAUUAUAGGCUGAUUGCAUUAUUGAAUACAGAUUACAAACUAUUUGUAACAAUUUUGGCAGAAAGAUUAAAAAGUGUUCUAACUAAUUGGAUUCAAAAAGAUCAAUCCGGUUUCCUACCAAACAGAAUGAUUAAAAAUAACAUAAGAAAUUUAAUUAAUUUAAUUGAGAUUCAUGAAAAAAAUAUAGAUAAGAAAUUGGCUCUUAUAUUUAUUGAUGCGGAAAAGCGUUUGAUAAUGUAUAUUGGCAAUUUCUGAUUGAAUUACUGAAAAAAAUGGAUGUGGGCUUGGUAUUUCAAAACUGGAUUGAAGCAAUUUAUGAAAGACAAGAAGCUAGAAUUUGGGUAAAUGGUGAAAGAACGAAUAGCUGUACGGUAAACAGAGGAGUGAGACAAGGAUGCCCACUCUCUCCGCUCCUCUUUAUUGUAGUAUUGGAAGUGUUACUUAAUAGUAUUAGAGAAAAUCAAUUGAUACAAGGCUUUAAGUUGAAAAAAGAGGAGUAUAAGGUAAGAGCUUAUGCUGACGAUUUAGUGCUAACGAUUGCAAACCCAGUAGAAAGUAAGGAAUUAAUAUUGGAAACAUUCGAAAAGUUUGGUAGGGUUGCCGGAUACAAAAUAAAGAAAGAAAAAACAGCAAUAUUGAUGAUGAAUAUGACAAAAGAAGAAAGGAAUAAUGUAAUUGAGAAGACAGGUUUUCAAGAUAAAAAAAAUGGUGAAAUAUUUGGGUAUCAAUAUUACUAUAAAAAAUAAAGAUCUUUUUGAAAACAAUUAUGGCAGAAUAUGGAAAAAUAUUUUAAAAGAUUUGACAAAUUGGAAAAACCUAAAAAUUUCAUGGAUGGGAAAAAUAGCUAUUAUAAAGAUGGUAAUUCUUCCAAAAAUGAUUUUCUUCUUUCAAGGUCUCCCUAUAAUAGUUAGUGAAAUGCCAUUUAUCAGUGGGAAAGGGACUUAUCUAAAUUUAUAUGGAAUGGAAAAAAGCCCAGAAUAAAAAUGAAAAUAUUAUAUGAUUCGGUGGAUAAAGGGGGAUUGGCAUUACCCAAUUUCAAAUGGUAUUACCAAGCUUGUGCUCUCGAUUGGAUGUUAGAUUGGAAAAUAGAAAAAAUUUGAAUUUGGAAAAAAUAGAUUUAAAAUUUGGCCUGCAUGGAUAUUUAGUAUAUGAUAAACAAAAGGUAGAUAGUAAUUUUAAUGAUCACAUUAUCAGAAAAUCGUUGUUUAAGGUCUGGUUAAAAUAUAGAAAAAAAUGGUGCCCUAGAAUUCCUCUGUGGACAUCAUCAAAUGAAGCUAUUUUUGGUAGGGAACAAUAUAAAAGGGAGGGCUGGGUGAUAUACAAUGAGAUUACAAAACAGACUGAAGAUAAAAGGGUAAUGAAAUCACAAAAGGAUUUGUAUUUGGAGGGUAUACACAGUAAUUGGUUCUCUUAUAGACAAAUUCGAGAGCAUUUUAUACUUGAUUCGAGGGAAGGAGGAAUUGGGGAAGGAGAUUUAAAAUUUGAAAGGAUAAUUAAAAAUCCACAGAAACAAAUUUCAAAUUUAUAUAGAUUAAUAUUAGAGUAUGAAUUGGAAUCAGAAACGGUAAAAGAAUUCAUGAUAAAGUGGGCCAAAGAUAUAAAUGAAACAAUACAAUUAGAUCAUUGGGAGAAACUUUGGAAGGGAAAAAUCAAACAAAUUAUUUGUGUGGACCUAAAAGAAAAUAUAUACAAGUCCAUGUUUAGAUGGUACCUUACCCCACAUAGAUUAUCUAAAAUGUUUAAAAAUAAUAGAAAUCUCUGUUGGAAUUGUAGUAAAGAGGUAGGAAGUUACCUACAUAUGUGGUGGAAUUGCCCCAUUGUAAGGAAAUUUUGGAAAGAUAUACAUAUAGAGAUGAGAAAAAUCUUUGGAUUAAAGGGAGGACCGACUGUUAAGUUCUAUCUCUUAAAUAUGAUGGAAGACAUAGAAUAUGGAAAAAAAAUUGAAAAAAUUAUAUUACUGGCGCUAGUUGCAGCCAGGAAGACUCUCGCCCAGAAUUGGAAAAAAGAUUUCUGCCCAACAAUCGAGGAUUGGAGAUGGAAGAUGCUGGAUAUUUAUGAGAUGGAGAAAUUGACACACCUGGUAAAAAAGAGACCGUUGGAAGACUUCUAUGAAGAGUGGAAGGUUUGGAAAACAUAUCUAGCUGUAGACAUGAUAGGUUAUAAGCCACCUAUAUCUCUUUCUCAUUGGAACACGAGUUUCCCAAACAUUAAUAUUCAAAACAAAUGUGAAUGCUGUAAUGCCAGUGUAUACUGAUGAAAGGUUUCAAACCCCUUGGAAAAACUGAAAAAGCAUUUCAAAUGAAAGUUUUACAAGAACAGGCAUCCCGGGCCCAAAUCCUAGAUAAAGCCACAGAGUACAUCCAGUACAUGCGCCGGAAAAACCACACACACCAGCAGGACAUUGAUGAUCUAAAGCGCCAGAAUGCACUUCUGGAGCAGCAAG